UACGGAGGGUGCGAGCGUUAAUCGGAAUUACUGGGCGUAAAGGGUGCGUAGGUGGUUAGAUAAGUUAUCUGUGAAAUUCCUGGGCUCAACCUGGGCAGGUCAGAUGAUACUGUGUAACUCGAGUAUGGGAGAGGGUAGUGGAAUUUCCGGUGUAGCGGUGAAAUGCGUAGAGAUCGGAAGGAACACCAGUGGCGAAGGCGGCUACCUGGCCUAAUACUGACACUGAGGCACGAAAGCGUGGGGAGCAAACAGG
rnacentral:rRNA from 1 species